AGUUUGAUCCUGGCUCAGGACGAACGCUGGCGGCGUGCUUAACACAUGCAAGUCGAACGGUAAGGCCCUUCGGGGUACACGAGUGGCGAACGGGUGAGUAACACGUGAGUAACCUGCCCCGGACUCUGGGAUAAGCAUUCGAAAGGGUGUCUAAUACUGGAUAGGACUCCUGCCUGCAUGGGUGGGGGUGGAAAGAUUUUUUGGUUCGGGAUGGGCUCGCGGCCUAUCAGCUUGUUGGUGGGGUGAUGGCCUACCAAGGCGUCGACGGGUAGCCGGCCUGAGAGGGCGACCGGCCACACUGGGACUGAGAUACGGCCCAGACUCCUACGGGAGGCAGCAGUGGGGAAUAUUGCGCAAUGGGCGGAAGCCUGACGCAGCAACGCCGCGUGCGGGAUGACGGCCUUCGGGUUGUAAACCGCUUUCACCCAUGACGAAGAUUUUUUUGACGGUAGUGGGAGAAGAAGCACCGGCCAACUACGUGCCAGCAGCCGCGGUGAUACGUAGGGUGCGAGCGUUGUCCGGAAUUAUUGGGCGUAAAGAGCUUGUAGGCGGUUUGUCGCGUCGGAAGUGAAACUCGGGGCUUAACUUCGAGCUUGCUUCCGAUACGGGCUGACUAGAGGAAGUUAGGGG
rnacentral:rRNA from 1 species